AACGAACGCUGGCGGCAGGCCUAACACAUGCAAGUCGAGCGAGAUCUUCGGAUCUAGCGGCGGACGGGUGAGUAACGCGUGGGAAUAUGCCCUUCGGUUCGGAAUAGCCCCGGGAAACUGGGAGUAAUACCGGAUACGGUCUACGGACGAAAGAUUUAUCGCCGAAGGAUUAGCCCGCGUUGGAUUAGGUAGUUGGUGGGGGUAAUGGCCUACCAAGCCGACGAUCUGUAGCUGGUCUGAGAGGACGACCAGCCACACUGGGACUGAGACACGGCCCCAGACUCCUACGGGAGGCAGCAGUGGGGAAUAUUGGGCAAUGGAGGAAACUCUGACCCAGCGACGCCGCGUGCGGGAUGAAGGCCUUCGGGUUGUAAACCGCUUUCAGCAGGGAAGAAGCGAAAGUGACGGUACCUGCAGAAGAAGCACCGGCUAACUAUGUG
rnacentral:rRNA from 1 species